rnacentral:siRNA from 1 species
CACGUUGUGUGCCUUACAAUACGG